AGAGUUUGAUCAUGGCUCAGAUUGAACGCUGGCGGCAGGCCUAACACAUGCAAGUCGAGCGGUAGCACAGAGAGCUUGCUCUCGGGUGACGAGCGGCGGACGGGUGAGUAAUGUCUGGGAAACUGCCUGAUGGAGGGGGAUAACUACUGGAAACGGUAGCUAAUACCGCAUAACGUCGCAAGACCAAAGUGGGGGACCUUCGGGCCUCAUGCCAUCAGAUGUGCCCAGAUGGGAUUAGCUAGUAGGUGGGGUAACGGCUCACCUAGGCGACGAUCCCUAGCUGGUCUGAGAGGAUGACCAGCCACACUGGAACUGAGACACGGUCCAGACUCCUACGGGAGGCAGCAGUGGGGAAUAUUGCACAAUGGGCGCAAGCCUGAUGCAGCCAUGCCGCGUGUGUGAAGAAGGCCUUCGGGUUGUAAAGCACUUUCAGCGGGGAGGAAGGCGGUGAGGUUAAUAACCUCAUCGAUUGACGUUACCCGCAGAAGAAGCACCGGCUAACUCCGUGCCAGCAGCCGCGGUAAUACGGAGGGUGCAAGCGUUAAUCGGAAUUACUGGGCGUAAAGCGCACGCAGGCGGUCUGUCAAGUCGGAUGUGAAAUCCCCGGGCUCAACCUGGGAACUGCAUUCGAAACUGGCAGGCUAGAGUCUUGUAGAGGGGGGUAGAAUUCCAGGUGUAGCGGUGAAAUGCGUAGAGAUCUGGAGGAAUACCGGUGGCGAAGGCGGCCCCCUGGACAAAGACUGACGCUCAGGUGCGAAAGCGUGGGGAGCAAACAGGAUUAGAUACCCUGGUAGUCCACGCCGUAAACGAUGUCGAUUUGGAGGUUGUGCCCUUGAGGCGUGGCUUCCGGAGCUAACGCGUUAAAUCGACCGCCUGGGGAGUACGGCCGCAAGGUUAAAACUCAAAUGAAUUGACGGGGGCCCGCACAAGCGGUGGAGCAUGUGGUUUAAUUCGAUGCAACGCGAAGAACCUUACCUGGUCUUGACAUCCACAGAACUUUCCAGAGAUGGAUUGGUGCCUUCGGGAACUGUGAGACAGGUGCUGCAUGGCUGUCGUCAGCUCGUGUUGUGAAAUGUUGGGUUAAGUCCCGCAACGAGCGCAACCCUUAUCCUUUGUUGCCAGCGGUUAGGCCGGGAACUCAAAGGAGACUGCCAGUGAUAAACUGGAGGAAGGUGGGGAUGACGUCAAGUCAUCAUGGCCCUUACGACCAGGGCUACACACGUGCUACAAUGGCAUAUACAAAGAGAAGCGACCUCGCGAGAGCAAGCGGACCUCAUAAAGUAUGUCGUAGUCCGGAUUGGAGUCUGCAACUCGACUCCAUGAAGUCGGAAUCGCUUAGUAAUCGUAGAUCAGAAUGCUACGGUGAAUACGUUCCCGGGCCUUGUACACACCGCCCGUCACACCAUGGGAGUGGGUUGCAAAAGAAGUAGGUAGCUUAACCUUCGGGAGGGCGCUUACCACUUUGUGAUUCAUGACUGGGGUGAAGUCGUAACAAGGUAACCGUAGGGGAACCUGCGGUUGGAUCACCU
rnacentral:rRNA from 1 species